AAUCAGAAUGUCGCGGUGAAUGCGUUCCCGGGUCUUGUACACACCGCCCGUCACACCAUGGAAGUUGGGGGCACCCGAAGUCGGCUAUCUAACCGUAAGGAGGAAGCUGCCGAAGGUGAAAUCAAUGACUGGGGUGAAGUCGUAACAAGGUAGCCGUAUCGGAAGGUGCGGCUGGAUCACCUCCUUUCU
rnacentral:rRNA from 1 species